GACACAGCAGCAACACAGCAAGGAGAGGAGCAGGAGGAGGAGACAGGUUCCAUUUGGGCACUUGACCUCACAUCUGUGAAGACACAAAUGGUUGAAGAUCACACACAAACUUAGAGGGUUGCAGUGGGGGCAUUUGCCAUUGAUGCGGUUGCAGAAGUGUCCGUCUUUGCAGGAUGAGCAAACUUCCUUGCAGUUUUCACCAAAG